ACAGACGGUGGAGUGUUUCUCGCUCCUUAUACAUGCAGUCGAGCGGACAGAUGGGAGCUUGCUCUGUAAUGUCAGCGGCGGACGGUGACGUUCACGUGGGUACUGCCUGUAGACUGGAUACUCCCGGGAAUCUGGGCUAUACCGAUGCUUGAUUGACGCAUGCUCAUGAUGAAGUGGCUUCGAGCUAUCACUUACAGAUGACCGCGCCGCAUAAGCUAGGUGGGUGAGUACGGCUCACCAAGCCACCAUGCGUAGCGAACCUGAGAGGUUGAUCGGCACACUUGGACUGAGAACCGCCCAACUCCUACCGGAGCAGCAGUAGUAUCUUCCGCAUGACGAAAGGCUGACGGAGCAACGCGCUGAGUCAUGAAGUUUUCGAUCGUAAACUCUGUUGUUAGGGAAGACCAGUACCGUCGAUUAGGCGUACUUUGACGUCCCUACCAGAAAGCCACGCUAACUACGUGCCACCAGCCCGGUAAUACGUAAGUUGCAAGCGUUGUCCAGCAUAAUGGGCGUUAAAGCGCCGCAGCCGUUUCUUAAGUCUAUGUGAAAGCUCCCGCUCAACCCGGGAGGUCAUUGGAAACUUGGGAACUUGAAGCCAGAGAGAGAGUGGAUUUCAACUUUAGCGUUAAAUGCGAGAGGUUGUGGAGGACACCAGUGCGAAGCCACUCUCUGCUGUACCUGACGCUAGCGCGAACGCUGGGAGCACAGGAUAGAUACCUGUAGUCACGCCGUAACCAUGAGGCUAGUGUAGAGGGUUCCGCCCUUAAGCCUGCACAACGCAUAAAGCCUCCGCUUGGGAGUACCGUCGAAGAUUAAACUCAAGGAUUGACGGGGCCCCGACAAGCGGGAGCUGUGUUAAAUGAAGCAACCGAAGACCUACCAGUUCUGAACCUUUUACACCUGGAGAGGGCUCCCUUCGGGCAGAAGACAGGGUGAUUGUUUCGUCGCUCGUCAUGGAAGUGGGUAAGUCCGACGAGCCACCUUGAUUUAGGUGCAGCUUUAGUGGACUCUAGGGAUUCCGGGAAAAACGGGGAAGGGGGUUACUCAAUAUCUGCCUAUAGACGGGCACACGUGCUAAAUUGGGAAAAAGGGACGAAGGCGGGUAAGCAAUCCAAAUUUUCUAUCAAUCGAGUUGAACUACUUGAGUGUAACCUGAAUGGGACACUCCGGUAUAUCUCGGCUGUACACCGCUCCACGAGGUUAACGAGCGGGAACUUUGACGCGAGGAUG
rnacentral:rRNA from 1 species